rnacentral:rRNA from 1 species
UACGUAGGGGGCAAGCGUUAUCCGGAAUUACUGGGUGUAAAGGGUGAGUAGGCGGCAUGGUAAGCCAGAUGUGAAAGCCUUGGGCUUAACCCGAGGAUUGCAUUUGGAACUAUUAAGCUAGAGUACAGGAGAGGAAAGCGGAAUUCCUAGUGUAGCGGUGAAAUGCGUAGAUAUUAGGAAGAACACCAGUGGCGAAGGCGGCUUUCUGGACUGAAACUGACGCUGAGGCACGAAAGCGUGGGGAGCGAACAGG